rnacentral:rRNA from 1 species
CCUACGGGCGGCAGCAGUAGGGAAUCUUCCACAAUGGGCGAAAGCCUGAUGGAGCAACGCCGCGUGGGUGAAGAAGGUCUUCGGAUCGUAAAACCCUGUUGUUAGAGAAGAAAGUGCUGGAGAGGAACUGUUCACGAUUCGACGGUAUCUAACCAGAAAGCCACGGCUAACUACGUGCCAGCAGCCGCGGUAAUAAGUAGGUGGCAAGCUUUAUCCGGAUUUAUUGGGAGUAAAGGGAACGCAGGCGGUCUUGUAAGUCUGAUGUGAAAGCCUUCGGCUUAACCGCAGUAGUGCUUUGGAAACUAGGAGACUUGAGUGCAGAAGAGGAGAGUGGAACUCCAUGUGUAGCGGUGAAAUGCGUAGAUAUAUGGAAGAACACCAGUGGCGAAAGCGGCUCUCUGGUCUGUAACUGACGCUGAGGUUCGAAAGCGUGGGUAGCAAACAGGAUUAGAUACCCUUGUAGUC